rnacentral:lncRNA from 1 species
GGAACAAAUGGGGGCAGACUGAGCCACGAGCUUGAAGAGCCGGCUCUGCAUGAUUGUAUUAUCCCAAGAGACUCCGGCCCUGUUUCUCCCGCGCACAGAAGGGUUCUGUGCGCACUGAGGUUCAAAUGCAAGAAUAAUUGUGAACACAAAAGUACUAUUCCAAGGCAGAGACCACCGCCAUUCCUUGAACCUCACGGUAACUAUGUGCCAAGAGCUGCAUGAACCCGACCGAACUGAAUAGGAUGUGCAAGGACAUGAUAUAUGAGAAGACUUGAGUUCCAGUCCUGACUAUGGCACUGCCAGACACAGCUUUUAAGUUGUCUUCAGCAUUUACAUACUAUUAACCCAUACUUGGCCUCGUCUGAUCCUCAAAAAACUUGGCUUAUUGAAGAAGGUCCCUCCCUGAGGAAAUCCCCAUCAUGACAAGCACUCAGAGAAGUUGGUUGGUACAGAGUUUCUCUGCUGGUUACCCCAGGUGUGGUGUGGACCCCAGAAGGAUGACAGUUUGAAUCCAAGGGCAGUCCCCUUCCUGGCACAGCAAGCAAAAUAAAGUGAAGCCCCUGGAGGCUCAGGCUCCACAGCAAGACCACAGAGAAGACCAGCCCUCUCCCAUUGCCACAAAGACAAGAGAUAGCUUGAAAGAAGACAGCUAAAAGUGAAAUGAGCCAGGCAUGGUGGCGGGCACCUCUGUAAU